GAGGGAGUCCAAGGUCCCCACCUGGAAAGAUCACAAAGAAAUGAGAGGCUGGGUGUGGUGGCCGAGAAGCGAGGGUGCCCUUCCCCACAGCGCAGAGGACUCCUCACAUCCACCUUCAGUGAGUUGUCUUGGAUACAUUGUCAUGUUUCCACCGUGGGAAGCAGUGACCACGAGGUCGUGGCCUGCCCUCAGCUCGUUCUCAUGUGACAGCGGUGGUCCGCGGCUCACGGAAAGAGGAAGGGAGAAAGGGAGAGAGAGAAACAUCGAUGCAAGAGAGAAGUAUCCCUUCUGUGCACCGGAACGGAGAUCAGCACCUGGACCAGGAACCUGUGCACACCUGUGCCCAGGCCAGCGAUCGAACAUGCAGCCUAGGUCUGUGAUCUGACCAGGAAUCGAACUCUCAGCCCUUUGGCUUCGGGACAAUGCCCCAACCAACUGAGGGCAAGCCUGGAUAUCUCUAAUAAGUGAAGUUGUUUCUUUUCAAUAAAUUUG